rnacentral:rRNA from 1 species
GAUGAACGCUGGCGGCGUGCCUAAUACAUGCAAGUCGAGCGAACAGACGAGGAGCUUGCUCCUCUGACGUUAGCGGCGGACGGGUGAGUAACACGUGGAUAACCUACCUAUAAGACUGGGAUAACUUCGGGAAACCGGAGAUAAUACAGGAUAAUAUAUUGAACCGCAUGGUUCAAUAGUGAAAAACGGUUUUGCUGUCACUUAUAGAGGGUUCCGCGCCGGAUUAGCUAGUUGGUAAGGUAACGGCUUACCAAGGCAACGAUGCGUAGCCGACCUGAGAGGGUGAUCAGCCACACUGGAACUGAGACACGGUCCAGACUCCUACGGGAGGCAGCAGUAGGGAAUCUUCCGCAAUGGGCGAAAGCCUGACGGAGCAACGCCGCGUGAGUGAUGAAGGUCUUCGGAUCGUAAAACUCUGUUAUUAGGGAAGAACAAAUGUGUAAGUAACUAUGCACGUCUUGACGGUACCUAAUCAGAAAGCCACGGCUAACUACGUG